rnacentral:precursor_RNA from 15 species
AAGAGUGAAUAAAUAAUGGUCCUUGCCCUCAAGGAGCUCACAGUCUAUUGAGUUUCCUUUUUGACUUUCCCACUAGAUUGUGAGCUCCUGGAGGGCAGGCACUUUUGUUCAACUGGAAAAGA